rnacentral:rRNA from 1 species
CCGGCCCUCCGCGAGCACCCGCGGGGGAUCGGGUUCCGGACCCGGUCCGAUCCCGUUCCCACCGAGGGGCUGUCCGCGAUCAUGGAGGUGUCCUCGGACGGCGUCGAAUCCUUCUCCAGUCCGCGACGCUACGGCUUGGAUGGUCCACCCGACCCGUCUUGAAACACGGACCAAGGAGUCUAACAUGCGCGCGAGUCGUUGGGUCGGACACGCUCCGCUAAACCCAUAGGCGCAAUGAAAGUGAAGGCCGCCGUCGGGCGGCCGAGGGAGGACGGGGCCGCUCGCGCGCUCCGGCGCGCGACGGUCUCCGCACCCCCGGGGCGUCUGAUCCCUCAUCGCGAGGGGAGGCGCACCCAGAGCGCACACGUUGGGACCCGAAAGAUGGUGAACUAUGCCUGGCCAGGACGAAGUCAGGGGAAACCCUGAUGGAGGUCCGUAGCGAUUCUGACGUGCAAAUCGAUCGUCGGAGCUGGGUAUAGGGGCGAAAGACUAAUCGAACCAUCUAGUAGCUGGUUCCCUCCGAAGUUUCCCUCAGGAUAGCUCGCGCUCGGAGGAGAGUCUCAUCCGGUAAAGCGAAUGAUUAGAGGCCUUGGGGCCGAAACGGCUUCAACCUAUUCUCAAACUUUAAAUGGGUGAGAACUCCGGCUUGCUCGACUUGUCGAAGCCGGAGACGGGGCUCCGGCCCCCGGGAUCGGAGUGCGUAGUGGGCCACUUUUGGUAAGCAGAACUGGCGCUGUGGGAUGAACCAAACGACGGGUUAAGGCGCCCGAAUCGACGCUCAUGGGAAACCAUGAAAGGUGUUGGUUGCUUAAGACAGCAGGACGGUGGCCAUGGAAGUCGGAAUCCGCUAAGGAGUGUGUAACAACUCACCUGCCGAAGCAACUAGCCCUGAAAAUGGAUGGCGCUGAAGCGUCGUGCCUAUACCCGGCCGUCGCGGCAGGGCGGACCCGCGAGGGUGCCGUUCGAUGCGGCGACGAGUAGGAGGGUCGCGGCGGCGCGCGCAGAAGGGUCUGGGCUCGAGCCUGCCUGGAGCCGCCGCCGGUGCAGAUCUUGGUGGUAGUAGCAAAUACUCCAGCGAGGCCCUGGAGGACUGAUGUGGAGAAGGGUUUCGUGUGAACAGCCGUUGCACACGAGUCAGUCGAUCCUAAGCCCUAGGAGAAAUCCGACGCCAACGGCGACGGGAAAAAUGAAAGAGAAAGAAACCCGUUGAUCGGGCGAAAGGGAAUCCGGUUCCUAUUCCGGAACCCGGCAGCGGAACCGCUGUUUGUCGGGCCCUCACAAGGGGUUCGUCAGGGUAACCUAAAAGGGCCCGGAGACGCCGUCGGGAGCCCCGGAAAGAGUUUUCUUUUCUGCAUGAGCGUUCGAGUUCCCUGGAAUCCU